rnacentral:lncRNA from 1 species
UUUGUGAGAGAUUUGUUCCUUGCAUCGUAUUGUCCCGAAAAGGCACAUGUACGUUUUGUUGUUCCGCGUGUGCUUCCGAUAUUUGCUACUUAUUGUUAAAACAGCCCUCUUGUACUCUGGUGUUUGUGGGAUUGUCUGGACCUUUGCCAGAAAUGGUAAAGGGUAUGUGUUUAGAGCCUGCGAUGCUCUACCGGCCCCCUCUGGCUUCACUUAGACGUGGGUGGAUGGAGCUCCCAGACGUGGGAGACUUUUGUCUGGUGGUCAUUCAGAAAUGGAUGAAUCACGUUCUAUCUGAGGUCCCACUACACCUU